rnacentral:rRNA from 1 species
GAAUAACGCGUAAAGAACUUGCCUUACAGACUGGGACAACAUUUGGAGACGAAUGCUAAUACCGGAUAUUAUGAUUGGGUCGCAUGAUCUGGUUAUGAAAGCUAUAUGCGCUGUGAGAGAGCUUUGCGUCCCAUUAGUUAGUUGGUGAGGUAACGGCUCACCAAGACGAUGAUGGGUAGCCGGCCUGAGAGGGUGAACGGCCACAAGGGGACUGAGACACGGCCCUUACUCCUACGGGAGGCAGCAGUGGGGAAUAUUGGACAAUGGACCAAAAGUCUGAUCCAGCAAUUCUGUGUGCACGAAGAAGUUUUUCGGAAUGUAAAGUGCUUUCAGUUGGGAAGAAGUCAGUGACGGUACCAACAGAAGAAGCGACGGCUAAAUACGUGCCAGCAGCCGCGGUAAUACGUAUGUCGCAAGCGUUAUCCGGAUUUAUUGGGCGUAAAGCGCGUCUAGGCGGCUUAGUAAGUCUGAUGUGAAAAUGCGGGGCUCAACCCCGUAUUGCGUUGGAAACUGCUAAACUAGAGUACUGGAGAGGUAGGCGGAACUACAAGUGUAGAGGUGAAAUUCGUAG